UCAUCAAAGUUAUUUUUUUUUCUUAUAUUUAAUACGAGAAGAAAAUAUUCACCAAAUAUAAACUGCGUGCUUUUUGUAUUUUAUAGUAUGUAUAUGCACUACAUCGUGAAAUUAAAACUUUGCAUUUACUUUAUAUUGCAUUUGUAAAAUUAAUUAUUGAAAUAAAUUAUUGUCGUAAGUAAGGAGAAAUGUAUAGGCAACCUAUCAAAUCAAAUAUAUUCAAAUUAUUUUUUUUCAAAAUAAAAAAUAAAAAACAAAUAGCAUAGCGCAAGUUAUUUUUUUCUGUGGUAAACAUUUUGUUUUUCAAUAAUUAGUAUUAUAACUUUUAUUGUUAAUUGCCUAUACGCUGACUCCUUAAAAUUGUGUCGAUAAAGUAGAUACACUUCGUAGGACACCAACAGAUCAUAACCAUGCACCCUAAGCACACAAUUAUAGAUAUUAAUAUUAAUGAUAAAUAUAAUAGGACCCGUUUUUUAAAAGGUAAGGUAUAGCUUAUAGUAUAAAACUGUGUAUUUUUUUUUUUUUUUUUUGCGUAAU